UACGGGGGGGGCAAGCGUUGUUCGGAAUUACUGGGCGUAAAGGGCUCGUAGGUGGCCAACUAAGUCAGACGUGAAAUCCCUCGGCUUAACCGGGGAACUGCGUCUGAUACUGGAUGGCUUGAGUUUGGGAGAGGGAUGCGGAAUUCCAGGUGUAGCGGUGAAAUGCGUAGAUAUUGGGAGGAACACCAGUGGCGAAGGCGGCUCACUGGACCGGUACUGACGCUGAUGCGCGAAAGCGUGGGGAGCAAACGGG
rnacentral:rRNA from 1 species